GUUGGUUCAUUGUACUGUAACUUGCCUGUUCAAGGCUCUUUGGCAUUGGCUUUCUUGAUGGAGCAAUAAAGGUGUUGUAGAAUUGCUCUUCAUCACAAUUCUCAGAGGAUAUGAUGUAUGUAUAUCUAAAAGUUUGUUGCCAUAUUUUUCAGUCAGGUUAUGGCAAGGAGGAAAUACCGCUGGCCCUGGGAGAUAUCACUAAACAAAUGACUGCAAUAGAAGAAAUGGUUGCAAGUGAGUACAAUUAGCCAGACCCUUAUCUUUGUGACAAGAUCUUGAAGAUGGUCA